ensembl:lncRNA
CUAUGCGAUAAUAGGUCAGGAUGGGCCCCUAAACCCCCCAGGGAAGGCUGGGUAGGAAAUGGGAUUGGAGAGCCUAGGGAGUGCAGGGUCUUUUAUAGGCAAAGCAGUGAGCACCUUGUGCCAAAAGCAAGGGACACACACACAGGCUCUGCCCGAUGCCACAGCCCCUGGGGUCAGAACAAGCCAGGGACGCGUGCUGGGGGAAGCCUCAUGCUUUGGCUGAACAUGGUGGUCCACCGCCCCCUGGGGAGCACAGCCAGCGUGGUGUGGGGGCGCUGAGCCUGCAGGGUCUGACAGAACUGUCUUUUCAUCUCGAGGAAUGUAGCAGAAUUUGUGCCCAAAGUUCCUCUCGGAUUACAACCAAUGAUUGUGUUCUUCCUGGGCGCCUCACAUUCUAUAUCAAAGAUCUGGACAACUCACCUCUCUCUGCGCCAACUCUUGUUCCAGAGACCCUCCACCCCCUGCUCAUUCUCAGAGCCGUUCCUGAAGACUCUCUAGACUCUCCGUUCUCCUGCACACCUUCCCCGCCUUCAGCAGCAGCACAUCCCUUCAGCCCCCCCACCGAGCUCUUUAAAACGAAAGGCAGUUGCUGUCUUCCCGUGGACAAUACUGAAUGUAUCUUCUGUAAGUGCAGACCAUGUAGAGAAGUGGCUGGGUUCAUCAAAAAAAAAAAAAAAAAAAGACGGUUUUUGUAAAGCCUGUUUAUUUUUUUAAGUCGGUUUUGAGCAUUUCUAUUUUAUCACCCUUCACAUGGUCUUGGGGAACCCAAAUUGUAUCAAAGUCUCAUGCCAAAACAAGCCAAAAGUUGUUUUCUUUACCUUUUUCCUCCAUGCACCAUGAUUCAAAUGAUUGUUUCAGUGUCAUUUUAAAUGUUUUCUUGUGACAUGUACUGACGAUAAAAAUCAUCUUGACAAAAANNNNNNNNNNNNNNNNNNNNNNNNNNNNNNNNNNNNNNAUUUUGUACCUUUCCAUUUUAAUACAUUAUAAUGUAUUGACUCAACUGAGAUAAUAUAAACAGUUCAUUUUAAUAACAUGUGUGUACGCGUGCCUUUUCCUUCAUUCAUGGUGGGGGAGGGGCAGAGGAGCACAGAGUGGAAAAUCCUGGGUGCUUAUUAGCAGCCCUGUGGGCCUCAGUGGCCUCUGACUGGACCAAAGGCUUCUCAGCAGCAGCUGGUGACCCCCGCCCCCAGAAGAGAAAGAGAGGUGGCAGGGGAAUUAAGGAGGUAAGUGGGUGGGCCCUCUGGGCAUCACUGCCUCCUGACACCACCACCCCGACUCGCGCAAUACCACUCAGGUAGGAAAAAAAACCCUGGACCCCAAACUACUGACUCUUGGAAUCUGAAUGGAGGCUGGCCACCAAAGGUUAGGAUAGGGGCCAUGUAGGGAAAAAUCCCAGGUAGAUGCAAGGAGCAGAAGCUAGAGAGAAAACUCAGUGUUAAAAAUUGGGGAUGGUGGGUGGGACCUCCACGGUGGUCCAGUAGCUUCUACUUGGCUCUCCUAGCACAGGGGUCUGAGUUCAAUCCCUGGUGGUCAGGGAGCUAGAUCCCAUAUGCCACACUAUGACCCAAGUGGGCCAAAUAAAUAAAUGAAUAUUUUAGAAAUUGGGGAUGAGGGCAGGGAGAGACAGAAAAGUUCUAGGUUGUAUUUUCCAAAGACAACACUUUUCCCCCUAAUACUUUAUGCUAGAAAUUCUGCCAGUGAAUCCCUGGGACAAGCUGCCUUCAUCAGAAACCCACUGACAACCGACGAAAAGGUUUCUCAUUGUUCCAUUAGGGCACAUGCUUUUUAAAAUUUUUUAAUUUAUUUCUGUAUCUUUUAAAGUUGCUUACGUAAAUUUAUUUUUAUUUACUUUUUGGCUUCGCUGCCUGGCAUGCAGGAUCUUAGUUCUAAGACAAGGGAUCGAACCUGUGCCCCCUGCCGUGGAAGGGACCACCAGAGAAGUCCCAUGACAAGUUCUCAUAGUUGUCCUAGGAUCAGGGCAGUCUCUGACACAGCAGUCCUCAUCCUGGGCUCUUUCCUGGAGGAUGAGGGUAGGUGGAAGGGAAGAGGCAGAACCUGGGCUGAGAGGGGGGCGCAUCCCACGCAGUGGCAUCCAGGGGCUUGUCUGGAUUUAACUGUUCCAAGCAGAUUUGACCAACGGGUUAUUCCACCAGCCUCAUGACAACGUUCAUCUCUACUCAUGUCUGCUUGUUCGGACAUGUUCCGCUUUUUAACUGUGUCAUCUGGGGGGAGAAAGGAACAUGGCUGGAAGGGAAUCCAUCAGCCCCUCUUCCCCACAGAAGUGUGGCCCCACGUGGAACUCCUCCGAGGGAGGGAGAGAGGUUCCAUCAAGUGGGGGUGUGUCGAGGACGGAGAGACAGAGCCUCCACGCCCCCACUCUCUCCACUCCCUCCCCUGACUCCUCCCAACGUUUUAAAUUGGUAACACUAUACCUGCCCUUCAGGGGCACCUCCCCUCAGGCCCAGGUCCCUGGGACUCAAGCCUCGCCUUAACCCGUAAAGAGAGCUCAUCAGAGGAGGACUUCUCCGGAGGUGAGUCAGGGUCCCUGCUCUGUCUUGAGCUUCUUCUCUGGUCUGGGUCUGGUCUGAUCAGCUCUGCCCCCAGGUUUCUGUCCGUGGAUUUGACUCGUGGUCCCUGAAAGACCUUCAGGGCCACAGGGAGGGAGCGCUCACCCCGGCUCUGGGAGCGGCUUUUCUCAUCCUCCCUGCCCCAGGCUGGGGGGAGUGGAGAGGAGACCCACGUGGCCUGGGUCCCCCCUGCAGCACGUUGGCUACUGGACCUCAGAGAGUGGAGCUUCGGCCACCGCCUUGGCCCCCUGGCACUCUCCAUGCUGGGAAGAGGUUUCUGUCUGGUGGGGAGUCGGGGAGGGAAACAUUCACUCAAAUAACCACAUUCCUCCCUGAGUGACUUCCUGAGGGGGGCAGACCCACAUACCAGCAGCUCCCUGGAUAGACGCCACACCUGGGAGCACACAAACGCCGUGGCACCAUCAGGAAGAGGAGCACCUCCCCUGCCCAUCCCCACUUCCCAGGCACAGUGAGGCUCUCAAUGGGCAUAGAAACAGUGAGGCUCUCAAUGGGCAUAGAAAGAAGUUUCGAGGAAGGGAGGCCCCAGAAUCUGCAGUAAACACUGCCCUGGGACGCUGUUGUCCUUCAAAACUGUGUCUCCANNNNNNNNNNNNNNNNNNNNNNNNNNNNNNNNNNNNNNNNNNNNNNNNNNNNNNNNNNNNNNNNNNNNNNNNNNNNNNNNNNNNNNNNNNNNNNNNNNNCCUGGGACGCUGUUGUCCUUCAAAACUGUGUCUCCAAUCCCCUCAACACCCCUCACCUUCUUGGAUAUGAGAUAUGGAGCACCGACCUCAGUGCUGAAUUUUCAGACCAGACUGCCUGGGGCGGCUCUCAGCCAGUGGGAGCUGAUCUCAGAUUUGUUGUUCUUAGGUCACGAAGUGGCAUCUGCCUCUUUGCGACCCCGUGGACUGCGGCAUGCCAGCCUCCUCUGUCCCCCACUAUCUCCCGGAGUUUGCUCAUGUCCACUGAGUCGGUGAUGCUGUCGAACCAUUUCAUCCUCUGCCGCCGCCUCCUUUCCCUUUUGCCUUCAGUCUUUCCCAGCAUGAGGGUCUUUUCCAAACAGUUGGC